rnacentral:tRNA from 1 species
GGUGUUCCAUGGUGUAAUGGUUAGCACUCUGGCCUUUGAAUCCACCGAUCCGAGUUCAAAGCUCGGUGGAACCU